rnacentral:rRNA from 1 species
CCGCAGCCGCAACCAUUUCCGCCACAACUACCAUAUCCGCAGCCGCAAUCAUUUCCACCACAACAACCAUAUCCACAACAGCAACCACAGUAUCUACAACCACAACAACCAAUUUCGCAGCAACAAGCACAACAACAACAACAACAACAACAACAACAACAACAACAACAACAAAUCCUUCAACAAAUUUUGCAACAACAACUGAUUCCAUGCAGGGAUGUUGUCUUGCAACAACACAACAUAGCGCAUGCAAGCUCACAAGUUUUGCAACAAAGUACUUACCAGCUAUUGCAACAAUUGUGUUGUCAACAACUGUUGCAGAUCCCUGAGCAGUCGAGGUGCCAAGCCAUCCAUAAUGUUGCUCAUGCUAUUAUUAUGCAUCAACAACAACAACAACAACAAGAACAACAACAACAGUUGCAACAACAACAACAGCAGCAACUGCAACAACAACGACAACAACCGUCGAGCCAGGUCUCCUUCCAACAGCCUCAGCAGCAAUAUCCAUCAAGCCAGGUCUCCUUCCAGCCAUCUCAGCUAAACCCACAGGCUCAGGGCUCCGUCCAACCUCAACAACUGCCCCAGUUCGCGGAAAUAAGGAACCUAGCGCUACAGACGCUACCUGCAAUGUGCAAUGUCUACAUCCCUCCACAUUGCUCGACCACCAUUGCGCCAUUUGGCAUCUUUGGUACCAACUGA